AACAGGAAGGGGAUUUAAAAAAAAAAAAAGCUUUCUGAUUUUCAGUAUACAUCGCCUUAUUUGCCUUGUUAGAGGCACUUUUUAUUCAAAUUAGUUGAACUGCAUUUGAGAUCUCUAAAAAGAUCACUGAUUACGAAAUUUCAAUUUUUUGUUGUUUUUUUUCCAGUCUUUCAAAAACCGCCAAGAGGGACGUUGCUCGCCUUUUCUGGAGUCCCUCCUCCUCUCCCCACUUCUUUUCUCUCUCCCCUCAUUUGACAGCAGCCUCUGCACUCGGCCGCUUAGAACACGUCAUCGUCAUCCACUGGGAGAGAAUCAUGGUGCCACCUUUCUCCCCCUAUGGCUGAAGCGCACAGGAAGAUGGCAGGCUGGGCUUCUGCUCUUCAGGCGGCAGCUGCCGGGAGCUGGAACUGGCGAUGUCACACUGCAACUUCCCUCUCUUCAGGGCGCCCCUUAUUGAGCAGGUGUUUUCUCUUACGGAGCCUGUCUUUCACCUUGUCCAGGUGACUGGGAAGUAACCUUCUAGUCCGCUUCCCUUGCAGGAUUCAUAGCUUUAAGUGAAGAAUCCUACAUCCCGGGUUUUCUUCUAGUUACGAGUAAAGAUCUAUAGACAAACACUUUCCUAGAUGGACACUUGGCUAGAAGUCACGCUGUUUGCCAGUUUCCGGUUUUGACAUUGGAUUCCCACCUUCCGUCAGAGCAGGGCAUUAAUUACAAGUUGUGGUUCAAAACAGGACCCUUUCAUCCAGUAGCAUCGGAAACACCCAAAUAAGGACUGGAAGACUUGGCCUGUAGCCCUCACGGUCUGGAUCCAACCAGAUAGGCCCUGAGCCCUCCGUAUUUGAAGAACAGAGUAAAAGAGAGCCGUGGAUAUAUAUUAACUUUUAGUGAAUCGAGCUGGAUCCAGGAAGAGGCCAGAUAUUUGUUUAUCUGAAGAGAAACGAGGAGGGGAGCGACCCUUUAAGCGUUACUAUAUAAAAGUGUCCUUCAGGGAGAGAUUACAUGGAAGAGCCCGCUGAUAAUAGUAAUACUGCAGGAACACGACGCCCCUCUUCCCCUUGGACUGCGGAACCCAGGGUUCCUAAACUAAUUCCAGGGAGCAGCUCGGAGCCGCCCCUGCAGCAGUGCCCGAGGGAGUCCGCGGCUGCUCCGAGGGGGCGGGGCCCCGCGUCCCCUUUGUUCUUCCUCGGGAAUCGAGCUCUGGAGUCUCGCACACCAGCUGCUUCCACUUCUGCGGAGGGCGGCAAAACAAAUUAAUCACACGUACUGAUUUGGACAGCACAUUUUUGGAGCUUUGAACUCUGAAAUGCAAGGCCUCAGGUGCGGAGGGGUAGGAGGACCAACCAGCUUUUCUAGAGAAAAAGAUACUUCAGACCCUUCUGGCAACCAGAAGAUAUUGAUUGCUUAAUGAAAUAAAGCUCAAGAAUUCAUGUGUCUGAAACAAAAAAUUUUUUUCCAGGCUGUCCUCAGUUUCCACAUCUGUAAAACAUUAUUAAGAAUUCACCGUAUCAAACUCUUUACCGCACCAAACAUGUUUUAUUGGUAUUAUAUAAAGUUUAUAUUAUACAAACUCAUAUAAGCAAACUCAUAGAAAAAUAAAAUAAUAGAGCUGGAAGUGAUCUUAGAGAUCAUCCAGUCUAAUAGUUUUGUUUGAGGGAUUAAAAAACAGACCAA